rnacentral:lncRNA from 10 species
ACCAGCAGUCCCGAGAGGACCCGCAGACCCUCUGAAGGAAGUGGGCUGCUCCUGCAGGACCCGGGAGACCCCCGCAAAAGGCUGAAUGCAACAGCCCCUGGUUUCCUGCUCUGUGAGGAAUGGCUAGACCACAUCUCCUGCUGGUGACAAGUGUCAGGAAGGAGGAUCAUCUGCUGUGGGUGUUCCUGAUCUUUGAGCCAUGAUAAUGUUACUGGUUGGAUGUCAGGAGCAGGCCAUGUGGAUGAUUAAAAGAUGAAUAUCAUAUACAGCAUGGAUAUGUUGGACAAAAAGAUGAUUCACAUCCCAGACAGAAUGGAGCAGCACAUUUAUUAAAAGCCAGAAGCUAGAAGACGAGGAAAGAAGAGAUGCAGCUGGAGAGCCUGGGGUGAGAACAUGAGCAGUCUAUAAUCAGAAAAUCCCUUUGGGAUAAAUUGACAAAAAUAUAAACCACUCCACAAAGGAGAAAUUGUAAAUGAGUUGUUAUGUAAAACCUCCCAGCGAAAGAAAUAGUCCAGAAAGCUUGAAGAGAAACUGAAAUUUGAAAAAUCUACCUAAAAAGGUGAUAAAGGAUUUUCAGUUUUGCAAAAAACGCAAUACAGAGUGUCUUUGGAAAGAAAGUUCUCAUAUGGAUUUAAAAUAUGAUUCAAUUUACAGAAGUCAGAGUUGUUCUUCCAGAUGGCAUGAAUCCAACAGUGAAGAAAUCAGAAUACGUUGCUUUUGUGAGGGGCAGCUGCUGAUUUUCUCUGAGCUCCGUUUCCAGCCUUCACAUGCUCUGCUAUUCAUCACAGGGUAAAUUCUGACUAUAGGAGGUACUGACAGAAGAUUAGGGAAGAACAGAGGGCUAAAUGUUUAUUGACUUCUUGAAAAAUGCUAUGUGUCUUGCCAGACUUAGCUUACAAGUUUGGUUAAAGAGAGACUGACAUGAGCAUAAAGGAAGGGACAUUGAAAGAGGCAGAGAUGAAGGAAGAAAUUGUAACUUACUCCUUUUAUCCCACCCAUCAAAGGAAAGACAAGUUGACGUUCCCAGGGUGGAUGGAUCCAGGCAGGACAGGAUCAGAAGUUGCAGUCUUAAUUGCACCAACUCACGCAUGUCACCAGCCGAGGAGUAUUGAUUCUGCAACAAACUGAGAAGAAACCUGGCGAUUCACAACAGAGAGCUGAGAAAUCCUAAGUCUGGAUUCCAGCUAAAUGGGAGCAGACUAAAUAGAGCGGCAGUCGGCGAACUACAUGUAGCCCAUGAACAAAAUCCGGUCCAGCACGUGUGUUUUUUUUUACGGCCCACAAAUGAGUCUGUCUUUACAGAUGAAUGUUAAAACUGGGUUGACAAGAGAGAACACUCACUUUGAACCGCAACUAAACAAAAUAUUAUCACCUUUCCCCUCAAAAAAGGUUUUUGUUCUUCUCAUUAGUAAAUUUGUAUUAUGACAAAGACUGUCAGAUCAUUAGGAACCAGCAUGAUGACUAUAAGUAUACAGCAAUUGAGUAUCGUAAGAAUGCUUUCAUUUUAAAC